CACACAUAUAUAUAUCUGUAUAUAUAUAUAUAUAUGUGUGUGUGUGUGUGUGAGAGUGUGUGUGUAAUGGUUGUCUGCAAGAAACACCUUUAAUUAAUCACAGCCAACCCUCAAAUAAUACGCAUAGUAUAGGACCCUUACAAUGCUACACUCCCAACUCUUCUCCCCACCCACCUUUUGUUUUCUUUCCUUCCACGGAUUCUGUGACAUCUUCCUCUCCUCAUUGACUCUGCAUGAAGGGGAUUCCUGGUGGGGGAAGGGUAGCUGGUGAGAAAUGAGGUAUCAAGAAACUAGCAAAGCAUCUUCUGGCUGUCUGUGGACAGUUCUUGUGUGGUCCCCAGCCUAGUCUCAAGGGUUCUGGGCUGGUCACCCUGCAGCCUCUGUGCUGUGUCACCAGAUUCGGGCUCUGAGGGAAGGGCCCUGGGAGGCCCAACAGAGCGGGGUGCCUUGUCUAACAUCCCCCCGUUCCUCUGGCUGUGUGGCUCAGGAAUAGGCCCAGACAGUGUGUCCAGGUGGUGCCAGGUCACCUCACUGCCCCCUUUGAGAUGGGCCCAGAGGGUUUUGUGGGGUGAGCAUGAAGCUGGGCACCCAAAGCCUGGGGCCGAGUGCCCCUCCCUGUGUCCCAGAGGAGGGGCCCUGACCUGAGAAGAUCCCCAGUGCCUGGCUUAUGGGUGCCAAUGUGGGGAGGGGUGGCUCUGAGGACUGAAGCGGGUCACUGAAAGAAGACAUUGAGCUCCAUGGCUCAGGGACCUUGGCAGUAGAGGCCUGGUAAGCAGAGACUAGGACACUGGGACUUGGUCACAAAAAAUAUGAUCAGAAAGGGCAUGGCCAUCAGAGAGUUGGUCAGGCGGCCUGGUCAUUGAGGGACUGUCAGUGAGGACCUGGUCACUGGGUGCUUGGUCAAUGGGUCUUGGUCAGUGGGGACCUGGUAAGUGGAGAUCUGAUUACUGGGGGCUUGGUCAUCAAGAGCCUGGUCAGUCAGGACCUGGUCAGUGAGGACCUGGUCAGUGAAGGACUUGUGGGGGGGCAUUGGUCAGCAGCGGCCUUGUCGGGGGAGGCUUGGUCAGUGGGGGCCUAGUUAGUGGGGUCCUGGCCAGCCGGCUGCUGGGUGACCUCAUGCAGGGGUUUGUCCUUGGAGCUUGCUUGCCGCCAUCUGUAGUGGGGAUGAGUCACAUCACCCCAGAGGGCUACUGGGAGGAGGAGAUGAGCAGGUGUGUGGAAUCCGGCCCUGCCCAACAGACCUAGCACUUUACACCCUAGCUGAGUCCCCUGCUAAAGAGGGGGCCUGCUCUCUGCCCUCCACCCUCAAUUCUCUGCUCCCCGUCCACAGGACUGCCCCACCUAGGGAGGGCUGAGGUUGGGGAACACCUGUGGACACUCUGAUGCUGGCCACAGGCCCAGGGCCGGGCGUGACAGUGACAAGGACCUGAGUGCGUACAUGAAUGGGGCCACCUGGCCCAGCCACAGAAGCAACACACCAUAUGCACGUGUUCACCCACAUAUAUGUGCACGCUCACAUUUACAAACACACUGCAUGCACACAUGUUGAUGCUUCGGGGGUGGAGGACGGUGACUGUGGGCCCUGCUGACCCAGGCGGGGGCCCAUUGUGAUGGGUGCCGUGAUCCCGUAAUGUCACUGGUGCUGAGUACCCACCCGCCUACCUGGCUGCCUUCUCUGUGUCUGGAGCUCUUAGAGACAAGAUAAACAGCGAUGUCUGGUUCUGCUCAGAGGAGGCUUUCUUAAGUGAGAGGCACAGUUGGAUCAGCAGACUCAGCUGAGUGUGACCUGCUCUGUUCCCUCCCUGCUGACCUGGGACAGUCGCUACCAGGCAGUGCUGGCCUCUGGGCGGGUGCCGAGGAGGGUCAUCCCUGAGCACUCACCAGCAACUCCAUGGGGCGGAUCCUGUCCCCGAAUGUAGCCAUUCCACAGGAAAACGAAGCCCCCUCCUGUAUUGACAGCUGGGAAUUGUGGAGUCCACCGUCCUCCACCUGAGACGAGCACAGGGUCUCCACGAGGACAGAGGCUGCUUUGGACUCAAUAGAAAACUGGGCAUCUUCAUGGUCCUAGAAGGAUCCCAGGAGGCUGAUCCUAUAGAGACGUCUGGUUCCUGACCCCAACUGCCUCCAGGUGCCUGGAACAGCCCAUCGUGGGCCCUUUACCCUCAGCAGGUGGACGCCGUUGGUCCUGCCAGGGCAAGUGUGUGUCUGUCUUAGGGCAUUUGGGAACAAUGGGCCUCUCUGUCCAGGUCCCCCUGUGUUCAAGUCCUCAGGAAGGAGCCUACUCCUGGUCCAGGGCAGGGACUCUAGAGACUAGGGCAUGGGUGGGAAUACUGGAUUUAACCCUUUGUCUUGGGGAGCAAUCGUGGAAUGGGGCUCACCUGUCUGGCCAGCAUUUGGGGGUCUGGUGGGAGCCGUUCGGGUGUUCUCUGGAGCUCUCGGGUGCUGCAGAGCCUUUGGAUGACUUUGUCUUGCAGGAUGGAGAUGGAUGAGCACCCGGAUAUCCUGCCCACCCAGGGGCAAGGCAACAUCAUCAUUACUAAGUAUGAGCAGGGACGCUGAGCUGGGGCAGCAGUGGACACAGAGCAUGAGCGUGUUGACAUCUGGAAAUUCACCAGUCGUCUCUGGGUUGUGUGUGAGACAGAGCUGCCCGUGUCAGUGCCCUGGAGGUGAAGGGAAGAGCCUGUGCCUGCUGCGUGGGAGACUGGUCCAGGGACAGGGAAUCAGGAGUGGUUGGUGAGACAGAGGGGGUGGCCUGCGGGCCCGGGCGGUGGUAAGUGGGCCAGGGCUGUCCCUGGGAGGGGCGGCCUUUCCUGACGGACUCUGUUCCCAUGAGCAUUUGACCAAAACCCAAAUCAAGAACCACAGUCUUGGCUCAGAGGUCACUGCCUGUUUGUACCAAGUCCCCAGCUAAGGGCCAGGACCUGACCAAAACUCGGGGUGUCUGUGGCCUGAGGAUGGUGUGUCCUGGCAUGACCAGUCCAGACCACCAGCUCCAGUUAGUUCAGAGGGUCUCAGCCCCCGGGCUCUGCUCUUUCCUUGCUCCUUCAGGGCCCCAAAGCCCAGGACCCAGCAUCCAUGGGCCGCUGCCGGAGGCCUGGCAGCUCCGCUAACUCCAUCAUGGCUCAUUUGACAGCAAAGGUGUCAGGAAAUAAAAUGUACUGACAAGUGGCUGAAGAUGCUUGGAGACUGGCCAAAAUAUAAGAACAGCAAGAAGGUGACAUGGCGGUUGGGCCUGGUAGCUCAGGCCUGUAACCCCAGCACUUCGGGAGGCUGAGGUGGGCGGAUCACCUGAGGUCAGGAGU
rnacentral:lncRNA from 1 species